rnacentral:tRNA from 1 species
GGCCUCGUAGCUCAAUUGGCUAGAGCGUCGGCUGUACUGAAGCCUUCGCCUUGCUGUCGUGGGUUGGAGUCCCACCGAGGCCA